rnacentral:lncRNA from 1 species
AAAGGUUCAGUCCCAUUUGGCCAAUAUACACUGUCUUAGCUUGGGGUGUUAUAAUAAGAUGCUACCAACUAUAUUGUUUAAACAAUAAAAAUUUAUUUUUCACAGCUCUGGAGGCUGGAAAUCCAACAACAGAGUGCCAGCAUGAUCAGGUUCUGGAGAGGACCCUCUUCCUGUUUGCAGACUGCUGACUUCUUAUUGUAUAUUCCAAUGGUAGAAAGAGAGCAAGAGAACUCUCUGGAGUCUUUUUUUUAUAAGGGUGCUAACCCCAUUUAAGGAGGUUUCCCCUCAUAAUCUAAUUAUCUCUCAAAAGCCAUACCUUUCAACACCAUUGCAUUGAAGGAUUGCCCAGCAGAUGUCUUUUUCAUUUCCUUUGCUUGUGGUUUGCCCAUCUGUCAGCUGUGAAUGACCCAAACAACGUGACACGCUAUUUCUAACUCAACAGUCCUGGAACUUUCUUGACCUUUGACAAAGCCAUCAGAUCACCAUCACCAUCAUUAUUGUUUAUAGAAACAUGAAAAUUCAACCAUAAAAAGUCAUCUUGGGCUGAGCAUGGUGGCUCUAACAUGUAAUCCCAGCACUUUGGGAGCCUAAGGUGAGAAGAUCACUUCAGGCCAGGCAUUGAAGUUCAGCCUGGGUAACAUAGCCAGAUCUCAUCUCUACAAAACAUAAAAAACCAGUUAGCUGGACCUGGUGUACAUCCCUGUAGUCCUGGCUACUCCAGCAACUGAGGUGGGAGGAUCAUUUGAGCCUCAGCCUCUGGACCAGCUAGGACUACUCCCCAGUAGUGUGAGUGGUGUGAGCUCUGAUCACACCACUGCACUCUAGCCUGGGCAGCAAAGCAUAACCCCUUCUCCAACCAAAAAAAAAAAAAAAAAAAAAAAAAAAAGAAUAAAAAUAAAAAAGAAAGAAAGAAAGAAAAAAAUCAUCUUGGCUAUGUCAAUGCCAAAGUUCAUGAGUUGAGAGAUG